GUAAUUUCUGUGAAUGUACCUUUGUAUACGAAUUCCCUUUUUGAAUAGAAAAUCUUAAAAAACAGUAAAACUUUUAUUGAUGUAGUUAUACCACACUUUGUUUUACAGGCUGCAGUGUAGAUUUACAUAGAGACAUUUAGUAAUAUCACUCUAUAAUACUUUACCAUUUAUAGUGAAGUGCUAUUCACUAAAACAAACACUGUGCCUGAACUGGAUAAGGAUAUUGUGCAAGUUCUACAAUGAAUAUAUUUCACUGACCGGCAAGGUUGUGUUGACAGUCAUUUGGGUGUGUCUGCAGACUGACGCAUUUCUCCAAAAUAAUUUUGAACAGAGAAGGACCUGAACUGAGAGGAGAUUUGUGAGAUUUCACUACUUUUAUCAUCACUGCAUUUUCACUGCUAAUAAGACUAACAUGACGUCAGAUGAAGUGGGGAACAGUAUGUUGAACAGCUAUGUAUGCCUACAGGUUCUUGAUUGAACAUAAUGGUUCAAAAGGCCAUGGUCUUUCUCUUCAUGCUGAUUGGAUGGUCACAGACUUUUCCGUACCACAAUGUCCCCACUGAGGAUAAAGUAAUGAAAGAUGCUGACAAGAUAGAGAGAGAAAGAAGAGAUGUUAUGCAGAGUGGUACUGAUUUUACUCCUCCAGUGUGCCGUGUGGUAAAUGAGAGUUUGGACUGUUCUUCGCCAAGCGGAAAUGAAACCUGGGAAGUGAAUUAUAUCAUGUCAGAUGGUGCUGGUUCAGGAAUUGAUACCCCACUUUUUUCUGUUGACACUGACUGCUGUGAAGGCAACAUUACCUUUUUUAAUAUUUUAAAUGUGACUGUAGAUGAAAAUGGCUACAAUGCAACCACUGUGAAAUAUACUGGUCCUUGCUGUUUGAUUAAUGUGGAGAUUUCUGUGGUGGACAAGGCAGGAAACAAGGCAAAGUGCCCUUUUAAUAUCAAACAACCUGUGACAAAUUGCAAACACCCUUUGACCACAAUCAGCCCAAUGACGGUCAGUCCCACGUCCAGCAGCUUCACCACAACCAUCUCUCUUUGGUCAAGUUUAAUACCGAUGGCACUUAAAUCUAUGUUGCUUUAACAUAAAUAUGCACUUUCUGUAAAUAUGCCCUUUAUUGAAAUAUUAUGGAAAUAUAUUUUUUGUUCUUUUUCUCAUUUAUUUGUCUCACGUCGUUUCUAUAUGUAUCUGGAGCAUUAGAAAAUACAGUCUAACUUAUGAAAGUAGUUAUGUGUUACUUGGUCUGUCUUUCACUGUACUUUAUAAAGUGCUAAACAACCUUUAAAAAACAUUUGUUUUAAUUUAAGCUCAUGUAAAGUACUGAUAUCAGAUUCAUGUUCUUUAUUUCAAGCAAUUCUAUUACAGUGAUCAUUGUGGGGGAAUUUAUUUAAAGGACCACCCUGACUUUUGUGUUAGAGAGGCAUUUAAGCCUACUAUUUAUUUUCCAGACAAGUUUGCAUAUACAUAUUCUACAAGAUAUACAUCACUUUUAAAAAAUUAAGAGGAAUCAUAAACAAGCCCUUAUUAGCACCCUGUCUAAGGACAUAAACAGUGUGACGUGACAGUAAAUAGAUGCACCAUUCUCUUUCUGAUGUACUUCACACGCUUGUGUUACUUCUGUCAUAAAGGACAUUUGGACAUUUUCAUUGACGUGUUUAAAAAACUUAGUCCUUAUUACAAAUUCAUUUUAAAUUUCUCUGAAAUUCAGCUCAUCAAGUCUAAAAUGUUACAAAAAAAACCACUUAAAACGAAUACUCCUAAUAUGAAAGACUGAGGGACAGACAUUAAACCUUCCUCAGGAAAGAUUUCUUAACAUUUAAGGCAUUAAGAUACUCCUAAAUAUGGCAUUAUGUUAUGAAACACUGUAGGAGUUUAUAAUUACUACAUAGAAUAAUCUUCAGUACCUUUAUAAGAAGUCCUAGUUCUCCUUGGUCAAGGUUCAAAAAUAUAUGAACAAGGAUAUAACACCCAUUUUUACACAUGGUUUUACGAUUUACUGUCAUUUAUAAGUCAAAGGCAAACGUUCAGGUAACAUUAAAUUACAAAAGCACCAGAGAAAGUGCUGUUCACUGGAAUGAAUGCUGCUGAACAGAUUAAACACUAACAACAUAUUGUGCAAGAAAUAUGUUCUGCUGAUAGGUUAUGAAUGUUUAUACCUCUGGGUGAGAGGGCUAAAGUGUGUCUGAGAGAUUAGUUUCUAGGACUGACAUAAACUGAUUCAGAAAGACAAGUAUCUAAAAGAUCUUUAUUGAGGAUUCAUCGUUUAUAUCUUUACUGAUUCAUUUUAGUCAGUUAUUCUCUGCUAAAUACUGCAAUUUAUGACAUCUACAUAUUAUAUCCAAUGGAUGUGGAAUAAAUGUGGAAUGUAAACUAAACUUUACUCAAUCUGUCUAAAAAAAAAAAUCUUCAAAGUUGAUCAAAAUGGUUCAGAUUACAAAGACGCUGGUAUUUCUCUGCAUGCUGAUUGGAUGGUCACAGGCCUUUCCGCAUCAUGAUGCCUUCAGAGAAAAUGAAGCAAUCAAACAUGCUGACAAAAUAGAGAGAGAAAGAGGAGAUCUGAAUGUAAGUGUCCACAUCCAGUAGCUCCAUCACAACCAUCUCUCUUUGGUCAAGUUUAUGGCACUUAAAUCUAUGCUUCUCUACGAUGGAUGUGCACUUUAUGUAGCUACACUCACUCCACAUGUAAAUUAAAAUGUAGGCUACAAUAAAAAUGUACAAUAAUUAUUAAUUUGUACAUUUGUACAUUUGAACUUCACAAGGAAUGGACUGAGGCUGGGAUCAAGGCAUCAAGAGCCACCACACACAGACGUGUCAAGGAAUUUGGCUACAGUUGUCGUAUUCCUCUUGUUAAGCCACUCCUGAACCACAGGCAACAUCAGAGGUGUCUUACCUGGGCUAAGGAGAAAAAGAACUGGACUGUUGCCCAGUGGUCCAAAGUCCUCUUUUCAGAUGAGAGCAAGUUUUGUUUUUCAUUUGGAAACCAAGGUCCUAGAGUCUGGAGGAAGGGUGGAGAAGCUCAUAGCCCAAGUUGCUUGAAGUCCAGUGUUAAGUUUCCACAGUCUGUGAUGAUUUGGGGUACAAUGUCAUCUGCUGGUGUUGGUCCAUUGUGUUUUUUGAAAACCAAAGUCACUGCACCCGUUUACCAAGAAAUUUUGGAGUACAUGUACAGUAAAUGAACAUACUUUCCAGAAGGCCAACAAUUCACUAAAAAUGUUUUUUUUUUUUUAUUGGUUUUAUGAAGUAUUCUAAUUUGUUGUGAAUUGGUGGGUUUUUGUUAAAUGUGAACCAAAAUCCUCACAAUUAAAAGAACCAAAGACUUAAACUACUUCAGUCUGUGUGCACUGAAUUUAUUGAAAUAAAUGAACUUUUCCACAAAAUUCUAAUUUAUUGAGAUGCACCUGUAUUUCUGUUUAUUCUAACUUUUAUUAGACUCCAUGACAGCUAAAAAAAAAAAAAAAAUAAAAGAAAAAACGCCUUUAUGUUAUUCAGAUUACGGGGCCUUGCCACAAAGCAUUAAUUCGUUUUUGUGUUAUAGCGCCACCAAGUGGCCAAACCCAUCCACUUUUUCUAUGCAUCCUCAGAUCGAUAAAGUUUCAAAUACAUGAAUGAAAUCCAUUAGAUUUGUGUUUGUGUGUUUAUAUUUUUUUAUUUUAAGUAAUUAAUUAAUUAAUUUGAAUUUAAACAUUUUCAUACACAAUUAUUUAUGAAUAAAAAGAGGGAGAACAUACGUUGGCAUUGAUAAAGUCAACUAAUAAACAACAGUUAUGAUUUAAAUAUCUUUAUCUUUAAAUAUCUAUGAUUUAAAAAAAAAUAUAAGAUACACUGAAAUAGUGAGAAUCAAACAUAUUUCCUUUUUUUUUUCUUUUUUUUUCUCCAUUCAGCAGUAGCAAACCUUGACUUAUCAACAUGAUCCUAAUAAACUGUUAAUGAUUUAUACUUUUUCAGGUCCUGGCAAUGUUUAUUUGAAGCAAGUGCAUGCUUACUAAGUUCAUUUAGAUUUUGACUUGUGCGAUAAGGAUGUGACACAAUGUGUUUGUCCUAUAUGAAUAUAUUUAACAAAAAACAGUAGCAAUGUAAUUCAUACAUACCAUACUUGGCAUUUUCGGAGUUAAAAUUCAUAUUGAUAUUUUUGGGAUGCAUAAAGACAGGGUGAUGCAAAUUUACCGAUAUCAUAAUGAAGGAAAAGUUCUUAAAUAAAAUAACGAAAAGCUUUUUGAUUACCAAUUCACUAAUUGCUUUUAA
ensembl:lncRNA